CAGUCGAACGGACUCAUAUUGAAACCUAGUGAUUUAUGAGUUAGUGGCGGACGGGUGAGUAACGCGUGGAUAACCUGCCGUAUACCGGGGGAUAACACUUAGAAAUAGGUGCUAAUACCGCAUAAGCGCACGGCUCCGCAUGGGGCAGUGUGAAAAACUCCGGUGGUAUACGAUGGAUCCGCGUCUGAUUAGCUAGUUGGCGGGGUAACGGCCCACCAAGGCAGCGAUCAGUAGCCGGCCUGAGAGGGUGGACGGCCACAUUGGGACUGAGACACGGCCCAAACUCCUACGGGAGGCAGCAGUGGGGAAUAUUGCACAAUGGGGGAAACCCUGAUGCAGCGACGCCGCGUGAGUGAAGAAGUAUCUCGGUACGUAGAGCUCUAUCAGCAGGGAAGAAAAUGACGGUACCUGACUAAGAAGCCCCGGCUAACUACGUGCCAGCAGCCGCGGUAAUACGUAGGGGGCAAGCGUUAUCCGGAUUUACUGGGUGUAAAGGGAGCGUAGACGGCAGCACAAGUCUGGAGUGAAAUCCCGGGGCUUAACCCCGGAACUGCUUUGGAAACUGUGCGGCUGGAGUGCAGGAGGGGUAAGCGGAAUUCCUAGUGUAGCGGUGAAAUGCGUAGAUAUUAGGAGGAACACCGGUGGCGAAGGCGGCUUACUGGACUGUAACUGACGUUGAGGCUCGAAAGCGUGGGGAGCAAACAGGAUUAGAUACCCUGGUAGUCCACGCCGUAAACGAUGAUUACUAGGUGUCGGGGGACCAAGGUUCUCCGGUGC
rnacentral:rRNA from 1 species